AUCUACAUCUAAGGGGGGGUUGGAUAUGGGUGAGUUCCAAUACUUAAUAUGAUAAACUAAAAUAAUGCAACAUAGAUACGUUUUAAAAUAUUAAUUAAUGCAUGUUUAGUAAAACAAUAAUUUUAAGUUCAAUUAACAAAUUCAAAUCAAAAGUUAUCGCCAAAUAUUCAUAUCCAAAUCAAAUGUUGAAUUCAUAGGAAUUGUCAUGAAGACGCUCAAU
rnacentral:lncRNA from 1 species